rnacentral:lncRNA from 10 species
GGAAGUAACGAGUAAAAUGAUGGUUAUCAGCCUUCCUUUCAUUUGUGUUCAUUUUGUUUUUGAAAGAUUCUCCCCAACGCCCGAAAGCUUGAAGGAAUGAGUAACUCCUCUCUUCUCAGGCCCAGUCCCAAGGCACAAGGCCACUUGUACCAGCAGCGUGAGUCAGCAAGAUAGCAGAAGCAGGAAGAGAGCCGGCCAGAAGACACCUACCCUGGCCGGAAGACACGUACCCCUGAAGAUCGAGAAACAGGCCAUCUGGGUACCACAUAGCAGUUACAUCAGACUGGGACAAUUCCUGUUUACGGAAGACUAUAAAACCCUGCCCCCUACUCAUUUGGUGCUGACGCCAUUUUAGGCCUUAGCCUGCCUGCACCCAGGCGCUCAUUAAAACAGCAGGUUGCUCCACACUGCCUCGUGUUGUCUGUUGGCACACUCUCAAGAGUUUGAACGGAUACAAGAAUCUUUCAUCUGGUGCCGAAACCCGGGAGGGGCUCCGGUCUUCGUCCCCCGUGGACCUACCCCUCCGCCCCAGAAAGCAGGCCACAGCAGCCGGACAAAGGAAGCUCCUCAGCCUCCAGUUGCUUCUCUGUGCAUGCACAUCAGUCACUGAUCUCACCUACUGGAUGCCAGAAGAAAUGGGAAGACAUUAAGGUUUAUGUGCUAAUAUUUGAGUCCUUUCAUGGCAUUUACAUGGCAGAGCCAAAAGCAGAAGUUGACAACCAUCAGAAGCCAAACCAGCCCCACAAAAUACCUAGCCUUCAAGAGAGAAAUUGGACCAAUCUAUGAAAAAUGUUGCUGGGAGUGAAGAUGGAAUGAGAAGAACAGAGAAACAAUGACAGAGUCCUUACAAACACCAUGAUACAAGAAGGCAAUGGGGAUAUGUUAUCCUAAAGGAAUCCUAAAAGAAGUGAUCAAAAAGGUGAACAGAAAACCAAGUGGGAGUACUGUCACUGAGGAUGAGUUUCCAGAGAGAAUUAAUGCUGAAGAAGCUAUUGCAGACACUGCUGAGUAUGAAGAACUAAUUGGAGAAGGAAGCCGUUGUAUAGCAGAUGCAGAGCAGCAGCAAAAAUGGUAAUGAAAAUAGAAGAUAAAUUAGAAAAUUUGGAAAAACCCAAACAGAUCAGCCAUAUUGAAGGGAAAAAGAAAAACAAAACAAAGUGGGAGGGCAGAAAUGUAGAACGGUAUACACUCUUUUAACCCCAAGGAUGAAUGUAGCCAAGAACACAGUGGGGACUUAGGAGUCUCAGCACAGAGCAUUCUCUACUCCCUACUGCUCAGGCAAAGAACUCCUUCAUCAUGCAGAACCAAAACUGGUGUAGAGUCUUAAAUGACCUGGGUAUCUCUACGCAGAAGAAAGCGCUUUCCAUGUAAAAGGAUUAACUUGAACCUGGGUGCUCAAGGGACACCCUAGGCUGCUUAUCCCACUGAUUCUGAUCUGACUGUGUUAAGUAAUAAAUCAUGUGGUUACAUAUUCACAUUAUCUUGUGUAGUUUUCUCUCACAUUGCUACUUAAAGAGAAACCCCAGACACAAUAAUGAGGGAGCUCAGUAUAAGGGUAUGAAGAGAUCCAGGCAAGCUAUAACCUGGAGAGCUCCUUGCCCUUCAGAAGGUGAGACCACUCAGAAUGAGGGAGAAAACGUGGCCCAGCCCACUUUAUGAGGAAGCUACAAACAGAAUUCUUAGAAGACAGCAGCCAAGGGAGUAGCAGGGAUGGGGACAGGGAGGGCUGAGACUAGAAACUCACAGAGGAACAAACAAUUGAGUAAACUGGAAACAAGUAACCACAAAAGCACUAGAAAAUAAAAUGAAAGCUUUGCAUGAAUAAUUGACAAAUUUGAUCUUCCUUGUGAAUGCAGAAGAAGGAACUAGAAACAAAAGAUAAUGAGGCCGCUUUCUCUGCUUUGAUCUGAAGGACAACUUUCUAAUUAUCUGAUC